rnacentral:rRNA from 1 species
CCUACGGGUGGCAGCAGUGAGGAAUAUUGGUCAAUGGACGAAAGUCUGAACCAGCCAAGCCGCGUGCAGGAAGACGGCUCUAUGAGUUGUAAACUGCUUUUGUACGAGGGUAAACACAGAUACGCGUAUCUGUCUGAAAGUACCGUACGAAUAAGGAUCGGCUAACUCCGUGCCAGCAGCCGCGGUAAUACGGAGGAUCCAAGCGUUAUCCGGAUUUAUUGGGUUUAAAGGGUGCGUAGGCGGCUGGAGAAGUUAGAGGUGAAAUCCCCGGGCUUAACUGUGGAAUUGCGUCUGAUACUGUUCGGCUAGAGAGUAGGUGCGGUAGGCGGAAUGUCUGGUGUAGCGGUGAAAUGCGUAGAGAUCAUACAGAACACCGAUUGCGAAGGCAGCUUACCAAGCUAUAUCUGACGUUGAGGCACGAAAGCGUGGGGAGCAAACAGGAUUAGAUACCCGAGUAGUC